GCCUGGCUGGCUCAGUCAGUAGAGCACACAACUCUUGACCUAGAGGUUGUGAGUUCAAGUCCCACACUAGGCG
rnacentral:tRNA from 1 species